GUGCUCGCUUUGGCAGCACAUACACUAAAACUGGAACAAUUCAGAGAUUAGCAUGGCCUCUGAACAAGGAUGACAUGCAAAUUUGUGAAGCGUUCCAUAUUUUU